rnacentral:lncRNA from 1 species
CUCGCAAGAAUUUGACAUUCUCAUCAUAAUAAAAGAGAAUUCAUCACUCUCCAAACACUCAAUUCAUAUGAUAAUCAAUCAAAACCCAAACUCCAUUGAAGAAAGUGAAGGAAGCGAACAAUGUACCUUGCACUGGGGGCCCUUCUGGGCACGUCAGGCUCAAACUCAACAGGCAAGCCCAGGAACCCAUUGAACCGGUCGAAGGUGACAUGAGCCACAUGGCGCACGUUGGUUGGCCAGCCGAUCUCCAUCCGGCAGAGCUCCCUCCUGUCACUCUUGCAAGCAACCAGAGAUUUCCUUAAAAGGGUGACGAAAAGAGCCAACAAAGAGAGCCCAGUAACUCUACAAUCCUCAGGGUUAACUUCUUCUCCUGUUAUACGCGAAAUCUGUUGGCUAUGGCGAUGGGGGAUGGUAAGAUGAAGGCAGGAACCAUUGGAGCGGGGCGCACAAGGUGAGGAGCGAGAAGAGGAAGAAGGAGGAGUGGUGCUUGCAGAUGAAGGAAAAUGGGAUGGGGAGUGGAGGACCUCAGUCAUGGCUGGCAAUGAAAAAGGGCGUUUUCUUGCAAUAUAAAAAAAAAAAAACUAAAAAAGAAAAGGAAAAGAAAAAGGAUUUGAUAUGGGCGUUUCAGAGAUUUGGAAGGGUUUGAGUCAGAUUCAAGGAAAGAGAUGUGAAGAAUGUGAAACGUGAGAAUCAGUAACUGAUUAUUUAUAUGUUUUUCAUAGCUUUUGAGCGGUGAACAAGCAAACGAACAACAGAGGAAGAGAGAAGAUUUGGUGGGAAAUAAAUCUUGGGUGUAUCCAGUGAGAAGAUUUAACAUUCAUUUUCUGCCAUUUAAAGCUCGUCAGUUAUUAUAUAUUAAUUAUAGACAGCUUAAUGAUUAGAUAAUUAUCCCUUAAUAUUAAUUAAUUAACAUUUUUCUUUGGAUAAGGAUUUAAUUUUAUAAGAUUAUAUGAAGUAAUUAUCUUUUAACAUGUUGAUUAUUAGACCAAUAAUAAUUUAUUUUUAUUUUAUCUAAGAAUAUUCAUAACUUUAAUGUGGCAUGUCUCAUUUUCCCUUCUAACACUUUUGAGGCUUUAUUCAGACCACGAACGAUUUCACUAAUUAUCUAAUUAAUAAUUAAACUAUAUAAUUAAAAACUUAUUUGAGUAGAAUUUUAAACUCUUUAUUUAUAUACCUCUUACAAAUAAAUGACUCGUCAAACAAACUUAGUCAUUACUUUUUAAGUAAAAUUUUAAUAUUUACUAAGUUACAAAAUGUUUUAAGUUUAAUACAUUAGAUCUUUUUAAAAAAAAAAAUAAAAUGAGUUCUUUUUUAAAUAAAAUUUAUUAAAUUCAAUUCUUAUAUAUUUAGAAAAGAUUAACUAUUUAUUUUAAAAAAAAAUUAUAUUUCCUAUUUAAUAUAAAUUAUAAUACAACUAAUACAUUUAACUAACACCUCAAGUUAAUAAUAUUAAUUAAAUAUAAUACCAAAUUACAAUACUAUAAAUUAAUAUUAACUUUUUAAUAUGAAACUGUGUUAAAUUUAAACAUUGAAUUAAAAUUUUUGCUAAAAUGAAGAUUCUAAAAUUAAUUAAAAAUUUUAUUAAAAUUGUUCGUACUCUUCUAGUAGGAAAUAUAACCUACUAACUAUAGUUUUAGGCAGGUGAAUGUGCGUAACUCCUAGUAUCCCUCAUUUAUAGGUAAUGUUAUUUGGUUAUCUAAUAUCAUUCUCUCCCUUAAUUCCCUCAUUCUUUUUUAUCUCUAUGUAUUUCACCAUUCUACCAAAAAAUUUCUUAACUUUUACCAUACUCUAACUUGGUAUUUUUUACUAUCUAUUCAAGAUUAAACCCUAAUAUUUGACAAAAAAUUUUAAAAACUAUCUAUAGACAUUGUACUCUUUAUAGUACAUACAGCGACUAUUGGCACAAAUUUAGAUGAUGCUUCUUCUUCAUAUACUAUCAUUAUUUCUUUCUCUUAAAAAAAAAGUUCAUGACCCAAAAGCCUUCGAUCUCGUUACAAUAUUGCUUCCCCAAGCUUUUACCAUUGUGAAAAUUCCCCAGCUACCAGCUCUCGUAGGAGUUUGGGUUAUGUUUUAUUGUGACUAAUCCUCCUCUCAAACUAUUAUUGGUCACUGUCUUAGUAAACUAUUACCUUCCCAACUAGUUAUUAAACUAUUGCCUUACUAACUAACUAAUUAGACGUAAGUUUUUUUCAUAUAAAUUCUUCCAUUAGCUUUGCAGCGUUGAAGAUGUCGGUAGCUGUUUCCCAUGCAUAGCAUGAGACAAAAAUUUAAUUAGAACUAUAUUCAAAUCUUAAGAAUUUUUAUUUAACUUAUUAUUUUAAAAUUUAGCAACUAAACAUAUUUACUAAGAAAUAGAAUGCGUAAAAUGAAAAGAAUAAAACUAAAACUAGUCAAACAGCAAGUCCAUAAAAUUUUUAGAAGGAACAAACACAAGGAUCAUCUCUGAUUUAAGAUGGAGCUAACAGAUCUAAAAAAAUAAAUAAAUAAACUAAACGUAUUCUAGUUAUUCUUAUGACACUGAGUAAAUUGGUAUUAUUGGAUUAGUAUCUGAGCCUAACAUUUUACCUUGCAAAGGGAUUGCAAGCCAAUGUAGAAAUAAAUUUUAGCGAAAUUUAUUAAUCCAGUCCUAUACUAAAUUUUAGCGAAAUUUGUCUAAAGAUAAAAAUUAAAUAAAAAAUUUGAAUCCUAGUCAGACCAAGUUAAAAAUUCAGCUAGAACUUUCAAGGGGGUUUUCCUUUGCAUGACAAUUUCAAAUUUAACACUAUAUGCUUCACACUAUUGCUUCUUCUCUGUUUUCAAUGAAGUUUCCUGAUAAUUUCUAAAUAUAACAUUUUUUCCAUGUAUGAACGAAUAAAACUAGUUCAUUCCACUUCUCCUAUCCUAUGUGAAAAAUACUAGAACAAAUAUGAUCAUUAUCUGGCCCUUUGAUCUAGUUUUUUUCAUGACCAUGAUGACUUUUUUCUGCAAGAAAAGGAAAAAGAUGUUGAAAGUUAUAAAUGCUNNNNNNNNNNNNNNNNNNNNNNNNNNNNNNNNNNNNNNNNNNNNNNNNNNNNNNNNNNNNNNNNNNNNNNNNNNNNNNNNNNNNNNNNNNNNNNNNNNNNNNNNNNNNNNNNNNNNNNNNNNNNNNNNNNNNNNNNNNNNNNNNNNNNNNNNAGGGGGAAAAACAGAAAGAAAGAAAAGGCACGGCAAUGCUUGUAAUCAGAUUUUCAUAAAUUUCAUAUUUUAAAUCCUUAACAGAAAUCACUGCAACAAAUAAAAAACAAACUAAUUGCAAAAGAGACAUACUUGACUAUUUUUUCUUAGUUUCAGAAAUUUGAAAAGCCAAUUUAACAACCGAGAUGAAAUAAAAGCAGCAAGCUUCGCAAUUCAGUUCCAAGAAUUCCAUUAACCAAAACCCACCACUUUGUCAACAGAACAAUUCAAACCUCGCAAGAAUUUGACAUUCUCAUCAUAAUAAAAGAGAAUUCAUCACUCUCCAAACACUCAAUUCAUAUGAUAAUCAAUCAAAACCCAAACUCCAUUGAAGAAAGUGAAGGAAGCGAACAAUGUACCUUGCACUGGGGGCCCUUCUGGGCACGUCAGGCUCAAACUCAACAGGCAAGCCCAGGAACCCAUUGAACCGGUCGAAGGUGACAUGAGCCACAUGGCGCACGUUGGUUGGCCAGCCGAUCUCCAUCCGGCAGAGCUCCCUCCUGUCACUCUUGCAAGCAACCAGAGAUUUCCUUAAAAGGGUGACGAAAAGAGCCAACAAAGAGAGCCCAGUAACUCUACAAUCCUCAGGGUUAACUUCUUCUCCUGUUAUACGCGAAAUCUGUUGGCUAUGGCGAUGGGGGAUGGUAAGAUGAAGGCAGGAACCAUUGGAGCGGGGCGCACAAGGUGAGGAGCGAGAAGAGGAAGAAGGAGGAGUGGUGCUUGCAGAUGAAGAAAAUGGGAUGGGGAGUGGAGGACCUCAGUCAUGGCUGGCAAUGAAAAAGGGCGUUUUCUUGCAUAUAAAAAAAAAAAACUAAAAAGAAAGGAAAGAAAAAGGGAUUUGAUAUGGGCGUUUCAGAGAUUUGGAAGGGUUUGAGUCAGAUUCAAGGAAAGAGAUGUGAAGAAUGUGAAACGUGAGAAUCAGUAACUGAUUAUUUAUAUGUUUUUCAUAGCUUUUGAGCGUUGAACAAGCAAACGAACAACAGAGGAAGAGAGAAGAUUUGGUGGGAAAUAAAUCUUGGGUGUAUCCAGUGAGAAGAUUUAACAUUCA